rnacentral:rRNA from 1 species
UUCGGCUUAGAGUUUGAUCCUGGCUCAGAUUGAACGCUGGCGGCAUGCCUUACACAUGCAAGUCGAACGUGAAAGUAGGGGCAACCCUGCGAGUAGAGUGGCGAACGGGUGAGUAACACAUCGGAACGUACCCAGGAGUGGGGGACAACCUCGAGAAAUCGAGGCUAAUACCGCAUACGUCCUGAGGGAGAAAGCGGGGGAUCUGAAAGGACCUCGCGCUCAUGGAGCGGCCGAUGUCGGAUUAGCUAGUUGGCGGGGUAAGAGCCCACCAAGGCUACGAUCCGUAGCUGGUUUGAGAGAACGACCAGCCACACUGGGACUGAGACACGGCCCAGACUCCUACGGGAGGCAGCAGUGGGGAAUUUUGGACAAUGGGCGCAAGCCUGAUCCAGCCAUGCCGCGUGAGUGAAGAAGGCCUUCGGGUUGUAAAGCUCUUUCGGCCGGAACGAAAUCGGCGGCGUGAAUAGNGCUGCUGGAUGAAAGGUACUGGAAGA